CAAAAAAAAAAGAAGAGCUAGAGAGAGGGUGAGCUAAGAGAAGAAGUGUGAUCAUUUUAUAGUGAGUGGGUAGCCGGAGCUCGUCGCCGGAGAAACCGUGUGCCGUGAUCACGUUCAGCUCGAUACCACCGUUCGCAACCCUAGACCACCAUCGUGUUCCUCUCGUCGAGACGAAGCCAUAGACACCGACCAAACUGCAAUUGGAGUCCGGACGAGCCUCACGCGCCCCCGGAAGAUCACUCUUCGCCAGCGCGUGAAACAGACGCGCCGCCGUCUCCGGCCACCGUGCUCGGCCGCCGUCACCCCGCCGCCGAGAAGCUGCUGCCGUAUCGCCGCCGCACCUCCGCCGUCGCCGGUGACUUUCCCGGUAAGCCGCCACCCUCCGCCGUUGACCGGCGCUGGUGCCUCGCCGACGACUCGCCAACCCGGCUGAGUCAACCUGGUGAGUCAACUCGGUGACUCGGUCAACCGGUUGGUUUGACCGGUUUAAAUUGAUUUCGGUUCGGUUAGGGUAAACUGGUCGGUUUAGUCAAAUUGAUUUCUGGUCAAAGGUUGACAGGAUUGACCUUUGACCAGCGAAUUGACGUUUCCAUAAACCUUGAUCAGAUCCGUUUUAAACCGUUCGAAAGACGUUCUGACUCAAUUUUAAGCCCUGAUUUCAGAUUUGGAGUCUAUUUGAGCAUCUGGAGUUCAUAGAUACCACGUCUUCUUGUUGCUAAGGUGAGGGCUUCUCCGUUAAAAUCCCGAACUAGUUUAGUAUUACCAUUAUGGAAAGUUUAGCUUCGAAACAUGAUCCGUCUUUGUGAAUCGAGUCUGUUUGAGAGCCUUGCUUGUUUAUUAUAGAUAUUGAUUGUUAAACCGGAAAUAGGAUAAUAGAGGAUUCAACGGUUGAUUGAAAUUAUUGAUGUUAAGAACUGUUAAAUAUAUAUAUGUAUAUAUGUUAGUCCAUGUGUUGAGAUUGCGGGAUGCAGAGGUGAUUGCACUAGGCCGCAUGUUUGAGAGAUCGCGGGGUAUGGAGAUAUCUGUACUAGGCCGUGUGUUUAGCGGGGUACAGAGACGUUUGUACUAGACCGUUUUGUUUGAGAGAUCGCGGGGUACAGAGAUAUCUGUACUAGGCCGUGUGUUUAGCGGGGUACAGAGACGUUUGUACUAGGCUUGCUUGUUUGUGGAGAUUGCGGGGGUACAGAGUGGACUACUGUACUUAUGACGCUUGGAGAGUCAUAUAUAUUUAUAUCCUUAUAAGGAAAUGCGGUAUGCUAUCAUCGCAUUGAUUGUAGCAUGUCUAGUCCACUAGACAUAUGUUGAUUGUUUUGUGUAGUGUAAUAGACGCCGUGUUUGUUUCAUGCUAGAGCUAGGCCUACAUUUUAGUAGUGCUAUGAACUGAGUCAGUGGUUUGCGGUUUAGCAUCCCCAUACCUCACUGGGCGAUUCCCCUGUCGCUCACCCCUCUUUCCUUCUCCUUUCAGGUGAGACCGAUGAGCAGGAGUGAUUAUACCGGACCGGUGCUUUUGGGCUUUUACUACUAUCGAGCUUUGGACUUCUAUCACUUUUAUCGUUUUAUCGCUUUUGGGCCUUUGGGCUCCUAUCUAUCGUUUAUGUUAUCUCGUAUUUCGGACUUUCGGUUUAGGUCGUACUUUAUAUUUCGGAUGUUAGCGUUAUUGGGCCUUUAGGCCUUGUGGUAUCGUAUUGACUUUUAUACUAUGAUUUGCAGAUUAUUAUUAUUAUUUCGGUUGUAUUAUAUUAUUAUUAUUUUAUUUUCACGUUUAUAUUAUCUCGAGAAAACCGGGUGUUACAGUGCGGUUGUAUUCUUUUUCUUUAUUAAGGUUUUUAGCUCACUGGAUUUUUCCAUAACAAAGUUUUAACGAGGCAACAAAGAACAUACAAAUGAUAGACACCCAAGAAGGACGUUACAAUUUCAGAUAUGAAAGUCUAUCUCUGUUCUACAGUUUUUGAGAUAAAGAGAAUCUAAGAAAAUGAUUAAACAAUACAAGACUAAUGCACUAUUUAAGAAUGGCGAUGUUCGUUACUACAAGUUUUUUCAAGUGACAAUUUGACUAACUUAUUCACCAAGACGCUAACCAUUGCUUCUUUAAGAAGUUAGUUCAUCAAAGAUAUCGAUAUAUGUACACGUUAGGGAAAGUCAUUACGCGCUGCACUCUUUUUCCCUAAACCUUUGUUUUUUCCACUUGGUUUUCCUGGUGAGCCUUUUAGCGAGGCAACAUUUUACGCACAUAAUAGACAUCAAAGGGAACUGUUACGAAUAUUUUGGUGAUGUCCAUUAUGGCAAGUCUUAUAUGUACUUAUUCCCCUAGCUUUACUUAUUCUACAAGUUAUACUUUGUUCCCUUGCUAUUGUAAUCCUAUAUAAAGGAUUCCUUAUUCAUGGAACAAUACACACCAAUUCUUCUCUCUCUCUUCUCUACUUAUAAAAUUACUGAUAUUAUGUUAUUCUUUUGACUUUUAUUUUUAUGUGUUUUUUACUAGUUUUAUAUAGUCAAGAGAGGGACGAUAAACCCUUUUAAUUUUUUAUUACGAUUCUAACCACCAUUCUUUGAGGUUAUUGACUGCUUGGUGUACUAAAUGGAAACACCAAUGUGGAUCACAUGCCAAUAACAUUCAUGCUAGCUGAGAAAGCCUGAAGGAACCAAAGCUGACUUCCAACCUUAAUCAUGGAAUAAUACACAUCAAUUCCUAUUUCUCUCUUCUCUACUUAUAACAUUACUGAUAUUAUGUUUUUCUUUUGAGUUUUAUUUUUUAUGUGUUUUUAUUGGUUUUAUAGAGUCAAGAAAGGGAUGAUGAACCUUUUAAAUUUUUAUUACUAUUAUAACCACCAUUCUUUGAGGUUAUUGACUGCAGGGUAUAUUAAAUAGAAACACCAAAGUGGAUCACAUGCCAAUAAAAUCCAUGCUAUCUGAGAAAGCUUGAAGGAACUAAAGCUGACUUCCAACCUUAAUUAAUUCAACUUCUUGUUUUGCGGCUUGGUAUACAUUGGAUCGAAAUUCUCUUGCAAGUCUGGAAGGUAAGCGUAUGUGUGUCUUGGUUCCCCUCUCACCUCUCUUUGGGAUUUAGAAAAUAAAAGAUUGCGAUUAUUUCUUGUGAUUUAGAGGGACAAGAAAAAUUUAUAGUGACCCCAUUAUUCCACUUCAAUGGAAUGAUCACCCGAAGCUGGAAGCGAGGGUUUUGCAAAUUUCUCAAAACCCCAUUAUUCGCCUACACUUUGCAGAGCAUAAAAGAAAUGAACAUGAAGAACUGUAGCAGUGUCACUGUUCACUGAAAAAAAAAGAUCCAGAGAAGAGAGAGCAUAGAGGAAAGGGAUCAGAAAUGACUGCAUGUUGGUCCGGAUACUUUUUUGAGUUGAGUCCAUGUGUCCCUUGAUCAAUACUCAUUUAGCCUACACAUUUAUUUGUAGAACUGAGGUCAGUAGAGGGGUAGGUUAGGCGGCAUGAGCUGAUCAAAAGGCUGAAUGGUUUGGUUGCUAAACUAAGGUCUAGUACAUAUAAGUGCUCUUGAGGUUGGCAUUGAUCUGAUGUGGCUUGCAACAUUGCAAAGGUGAAGGUAGUGAUUUUAAAGUUGUGUGAGUCAUUAUUAUUUUCAAACCUCUUUCACAGGACUAUUCUAUGUUUUGUUUGAGGGCAAGCAAAUGAUAAGUCUGGGGGAGUUUAUAUACCAUUGAUUUUACCAGUUUUCACCCACGUUAUAAGUAGAGUCUAUUUAUUAUGUUGGAGUCUAUUUUAGAGUCUUUUCAGGUCUAGGUAUGUUUUAGAGCAGUAUGAAGAUUAUAAAGCAUUUUGUAGCUAAAGAAUGAAGAAACUCGUAGAUGUUCAAGAAGUCAGACGGAGUCGAGAUUCAUAAGGAGUGUCGAUCGACACUGACCCUUUAGUGUUGCUUGACACCGAUGCGAGUAGAUGAGCCGACUAUUUCGCAACCAACUUGAAGCCCAGAUGAUCCACAUAAUUACAAGACUACCCUUGGUCGGCCUAAGACCUACUAUUUAUGUGUUUGCCCAUUGUUUAGGCAACACAUAUUUUUUUCUAUCUUUUUCACUACAACAUAUUAUUUUAAGGUUUUUAGUAUAUUUUGAGAGAAGAUCCAAGACUCAUUCAGAGAUUUGUAUUGGAACUACAAUUUUCUUACUCUAUCUAUUUUAUGUUUUCUAUUCAGAUUA